UACAUGUGGGGCAAGCGUUGUUCGGAAUUACUGGGCGUAAAGGGUGCGUAGGUGGCUUGUUAAGUCAGGGGUGAAAGUUUUCGGCCCAACCGGAAAAUGGCCUUUGAUACUGGCGAGCUCGAGUGCGUGAGGGGUAACCGGAACGAGGAGUGUAGCGGUGAAAUGCGUAGAUAUUGCUCGGAAGGCCAACGGCGAAGGCAGGUUACUGGUGCGCAACUGACACUGAGGCACGAAAGCGUGGGGAGCAAACAGG
rnacentral:rRNA from 1 species